rnacentral:siRNA from 1 species
CCCGUCUAGCUCAGUUGGUAGAGC